UCAAUAAGCGGAGGAAAAGAAACUAACAAGGAUUCCCCUAGUAACGGCGAGUGAAGCGGGAAGAGCUCAAAUUUGUAAUCUGGCGGUCUCAGGCCGUCCGAGUUGUAGUCUGGAGAAGCGUUUUCCGUGCCGGACCGUGUACAAGUCCCUUGGAACAGGGCGUCGUAGAGGGUGAGAAUCCCGUCUCUGACACGGACCGCCGGUGCCAUGUGAUGCGCUCUCGAAGAGUCGAGUUGUUUGGGAAUGCAGCUCAAAAUGGGUGGUAAAUUCCAUCUAAAGCUAAAUAUUGGCGAAAGACCGAUAGCGAACAAGUACCGUGAGGGAAAGAUGAAAAGCACUUUGGAAAGAGAGUUAAACAGUACGUGAAAUUGUUGAAAGGGAAACGCUUGAAGUCAGUCGCGUCUUCCGAGACUCAACCGGGUGUCUUCACCCGGCGCACUUCUCGGUGUGACGGGCCAGCAUCGAUUUCGACCGUCGGAGAAAGGCUCGGGGAACGUGGCACCUCCGGGUGUGUUAUAGCCCCCUGUCGUAUGCGAGGGUCGGGAUCGAGGACCGCAGCACGCCCUUCACCGGCCGGGUUCGC
rnacentral:rRNA from 1 species